rnacentral:rRNA from 1 species
UACAGAGGGUGCUAGCGUUAAUCGGAAUUACUGGGCGUAAAGGGUGUGUAGGUGGUUGUGUAAGUUAGAUGUGAAAUCCCCGGGCUCAACCUGGGAACUGCGUUUAAGACUGCAUAACUUGAGUACUGUAGAGGAUAGUGGAAUUUCCAGUGUAGCGGUGAAAUGCGUAGAUAUUGGAAGGAACACCAGUGGCGAAGGCGACUAUCUGGACAGAUACUGACACUGAGACACGAAAGCGUGGGGAGCAAACAGG